ensembl:lncRNA
CUGAGAUCUGAGUCAUGAAUCAGCUGAGCGGCGAUCACAGCUCACUGGCGCUGUACCUGUGUGUGUGUGUGUGUGUGUGUGUGUGUGUUGUGUCUCGUCUCAGCCGGGUGUGAAGUUGUAAUAAGAGGUGAAAAUUCGUUUAGUUUUCUCAAAAGCUCAGCACCAGGGUGUUUUUAUGAUUCUUCCAGACCCUAGUUCAACUAUCAUGAGAGCUUCACCCAGGGAUAAACGAAUUAAAUACGAUUCACGUCAUUGCCACACGUCCGCCUCGGCACACAGGCCGGGUGAAGGCGAGGGUGCCAAUACUUUUAUCUAUGCAGAAGACGUACGGUAAGAAGAUGUGCAGCUUUGUUGGACGACGUUAAGGAACAACAAAAAGGUGUUCAGUGGCUGAAUCUCAAACUCUGUUUUGUGCUCUGUACUGGGUAGGGCACUGGGUAGGGCACUAGGUAGGACACUGGGUAGGGCACUAGCUAGGGCACUAGGAAG